UGGACACAUGGAGGCCAACUCUCACAUGUGUGUAUAUAGACAUAAUUCCAAUUAUUUUGAAAAUAAAGAGGUCAAAGUACCAAAUUGAAUUCAAUAUAAAAUAUAUAAAGAAUAUCUUAUCAUGGAUAUAAAGAUUAAAACAUUUCAAUCAUGUUAAUUAAUAGAUUUUUAGGUCAAUUGAUUCUCUCAUGUGACCUAUUGCUAGUGGUCAGCUUCUGUUGUGAGAGUAAACAAAACAUCAAGCUUGUAAAUAUCAUGAUUCCUAGGGUAGAAAUUCUGACUCCAGGAGGAACCAAACUUGAUAUAUAGUGUUUAUGUGUAAAACAUUUAAAUUUAGAUAACAUCUUCCUUAAUGCUAUUGAUGCUUUUAGGUAAAGAAGGAACAGGUAAUUGUAAAUUUCAUGACCUCGAUCAGUGAUAAUAAUAAUAAAAUUUAUAUACAUGCAGCCUUAUAUAAAACAGUUUAUUACUCUAAGGUGCUUUACACAAUCUGAUUAAAAUAAGAUCUUUGAUCCGCUCCGUUAUUGUUAUGUCGUUUCAAUAAGAUCUUUGAUCCGCUCCGUUAUUGUUAUGGAGCGGAUCAAAGAUAUUAUUUAUAACAAUAACGGAGCGGAUCAAAGAUCUUAUUUUAAUCAGAUUGUGCUUUACAAGGGCAAGAAGAGGAAUGCAACAAUAAAAUAGAAUUAAAUGACUUUAUGACAACUUAUAGAUGUAUCUGUAAAUUAAAUUAUCAAAAUAAAACACUAUGAUUAAGAUCAAUAGCUAAAAGUUGGUUGGUUUUUUGGGGUUUUUCUUUUUUGGUAUUUGAUAAUUAAAAACACAGUUUAUAUAUACAUGUUAGAAUCUAAAGGUUUUGAUACUAGCUUUAAAAUAGAUGGAACCAAAAUGGUCAUAGUAAUCACAUGUCUUUAUGAUUUAAAAGAAUCCUUCUUUAAUUUUGUUGACACUAGAAUAUUAUAAAUGAUGGAUGCAUUGUCAAGAAAAACAGAAAGAGAUGUACAAAAAUUGUGACGCUUGCAACUCCAGGGUUCUGAUUCAAUGUCAGAUCCAAAUAGUGUUAAAAGUGUAUAUCAAGUUUAUAAUUGUAAAAUGUUUCAUCAGUAUAGACGCUUUUGGGGGAAUGAAUUACACCUUAUAUUAUACUUCUACUGAAUAUUAGAAUUUAGCAUAUAAAUGCAUGCCUAGAGCAAGAAAAGUUACUGUAUUAUAUAGAUUUCAUUCAUAUUGAGGUUAGUAAUACUUUUAACUAAAUAACUCAGGUGACUGGUAAGGUCAGUGUCUUGUUGAUAUUUUUGAUGUGUGUAUGCAUGUACGUGUAUGUGUGUGUUUGUAAGCCCUGUCAAUUGAACCAGUGAAUAAGAAGGCACACGUGUAAAUCAACACGGGGUCGGUCAAAGGAACACGAAAAUGGUGGUGUUCAGUUGGAUUUUUAUAAAAAUCAGCAUAAAAUCAUUAAAUAGUUCAUCUACCAUCAAAAUCCUGAAGUGUUUACUUAACAGGAUUUAUGAGAUGUGUGUAACAGGUGUGUAAAGAUUUAGCACUCGUCCAUCUUUUUUCCUUGCGAGCAUGGCUUACACACUUUCGAAGUGCGCAUGCUCUGUUUUGAAUGACGUAAUUUGUGAUGUCAUCAUAAUGGAGUUUUCCAGGGAAAGAAGUUGGCCCAUCUGAGGUAAGUAAACACGGUUGAAAGAAAAUGUUUGCAUAUUAACAAUGAGUUUUUUAUUAGAUAGACUGAUUAAAUGGUGUUUCAUACCGAUCGUGUUAUGUACAAGCGACAGAGUACCCGAGUUACUGAAAAUUCCGAUGAUGAAAGUGAUAUAUCUAGUACGUGAACUGUUUGGGUUUUUUUCUAAAAUUUAAUCUUUGCAGUUAAUGUACUCUGUAUACUAAAAAUUCAUAUUGAUUUUGGAUAGAAUUUCACAUUUAAAAACAAAUAGAUAUGCGCCAAGUCCUUAGGAAUCUACCCCACCCCCACCCCUCCAAACGGGACUUUUUUUUGGAUGAUUGGACCGUAUCCCCCUUUUCAUCUGUCUCCCUACUUUGAAGUUUUUUUCCCAACGCCAUGACAUAAAUAAAUAAAUAAAUAAAAUGCAAAAAUAAAAACGAAAGAUAAAUAUGUAUUCGGAUUGGCAUGUUCCACUUUGUCCGGGUUGAAAUCCCCGAGGAUGCAAAUGUACAUUACGCCGCACUAUUUGCAGUACGUACAUGGUACAGGUGUACCGCAUAGGUAUGUAGCUACUAAGACUAUAAACCAAACAGAAUAUCAUAUGUAAAACUAUUACUCUGAAUGCAUUUUACUUGUUUACAAUGUAGCCUGUCGGGGUGUGGUGCAUGUCACACGCGUUGUUUACACGUGCACUUUAGGUGGCAGUGGAGGAAAUUCGAACCAUGUAUGGAUUAUUGUCUCCUGAUAACUUUGGCAGUUAACUUUUGAUUUCAAUCUACUUUUUAAGAAUAAUAUAACCCUCGCUAAUCAUUGCCAAGCUGCAUUUCGAUCUUGGCAGAAUGAUCUUCAGCUACAAUUCAAAAUUAAGGGGUGAUGUUGUGUACUAAGUUUUUCUUGAUUGUUUACAUCUGUGACUGUUUAUGUGAUGUAUCAACUGAUCAAGCUGUACAGUGUCAUGACAUAUAGUGGCAUAGCUUCCAUUUAUGUACUUGCGCAUCAUUUUGUCAGAAGAAGAAAAUUCUAAAAUGAUAAUUAAGAUUUUUAACAUGUAUAUGAAUAUACAUGUAUGUGUAUGUUUGAUUUUAGUAUAAUACCUGUAGAGAAUAUUUCAGUAGUAUGAAGUGCCACACAUUUAGACGCAUGCAUGUGGUGUUUAAAGGUCUCAUCUGAAAGACCAGCAACUUUCUCUUUUGAAUGCUAAAUAUGAUGAUGGAGCAUUCACCUCACUACCUACAUUUUCACCCUAAAUAAAGUACAAGCAUGGCUCGAAACCAUGAUUUCUUGAUCCUGUUACCAGUCUUCACGAAAAACUUUGUAAAGCACAGGCCCUUCGGGCCUCCCAGUAUAAUAAUUGUGCAAGCCCGAACAAUAUUUUGCAGGCCCAAAAUGUUUAUUUUCUAAUUUGAUCUCUUGUUAUUUGCUGAUUCUACUCUAUAGACACAUGCACAGUUCUUUUACUGUAGGAAAAUACAGGUCAAGAUGAUCAUAGUUAAAGAUCAACUGACAUUAAAAGGAUUAUAUUAUUUUUCAACAUAUUAAUCCAGUAUAUGCGAAAGUUUUUGGACCACACAGGACAUUCGGUCCAGUGUAAUCAAUGAACACACCGGACCGAACCAAAUUUUGUCAGACCGAAAAACCUAAUGUAAAAAAGUGAAACACGUGAAAAUGCAAAACCAAGGGAAUCUUAUUUAUUAUACUAGUAAUACUAUUCCAGGAAUCCUUCCCGUAUAAUACUUUAGACAGUCCAUGCGGUUUUAAUCAAUUCAUUUACGUAUUUGGAUGUGUGCUAUUUUUUUUACUUAUAACAAACUCCGCAUCAAGAUAGUAAAGCUCAAAACCGGACAUUGAGACAUCUGACAUUCCGGUCCGGUGUAAAAAAUGAUGCAUCGGACCUGAGGCACUGCACAUCGGUCAGGUCCGACAGUCCGAUGUCUUUCGCAUAGACUGAUUAAUCUCGCAGAUACAUCAGCAGCUCAUGUUCAACUCUGUUUUGUAUACACCACGUACAAAACAUUUUUUAAAUGUUAGCCAAGGCCUACCCUCGCAGUGUUCGAAAUUGGUUUAAAACUUGGUAUAGACCACAGGUCUAUGCCAAAAUAAGAUGACUUAGACGUACCUCAUCGAAUUGGCAUAGACCACAACAUUGAAAAAAUAAUAACACAAAUUUAAAACAUUUUCAUUUACUUCUAAUAUACUUGGAAAGUGUAUUUUCUUUCCAUUUCUGUAAUAUCAUCCUUUCCUCAUAAUGUUUAUCAGACGUCGACUGACCAUGCAAGGCCCUCUUGGAUAACUUUAAUUAUUGCUUUAAAUCUAGAAAAUUGGCAUAGACAAUUUGGUCUAUCUCAAUUACAGUUGGCAUAGACCAGUGCCAUUUGACAUAUACUCGGUCUAUGGUUAAUUUUGAACACUGCCCUCGGUCCAAUGGGGCAUGAAUUUUCGUUUUUUUUCUCCUCGUACGACAGUAUUUUUUUUGGUUUUUUUAUCGGAUGGUUGGGAUUGUGAAAUACGCUUGGGUGGUUUUGAAUUUCCCGGACGAGCCCCCUCCCUAUACUUCAGAAAAGGCAGCAUGGUUGAUAAUUUUUCUAUGCGAAAUUUGACUACUAAGUCAUGACAUUUAGUCUGAGUCAAUCUCACGCUUUAUUUGUAAUAUAUACAGAACAUAUAAGAAAACAUUUACAGGCCCAUCGGACUCCAGGGUUUAAUAUUUUAAGAAGCCCGAUCCCGAUUUUACUGGCCUCGGGCAUCAGGCCACUGGUUAAUGUCGAAAACUGUGUUACCACUGAGCUACCAUGACCAAUUUUUAUACGCCCGUCUUAAGACGGGACGUAUUAUGGUAUGGCGUGUCUGUCCGUCCGUCUGUUAGCUUUUUCGUGUCCGACCCGUAACUUAAAUACUACAAGGCCUAGAAUCAUCAAACUUUGUCUGUAGAUACAUCUUGGGUAGAAGGUAUGUCGCACAUUAAAACCAGGUCACUGUGACUUUUCAUUAAGAAGAUAUGGCCAUAUAUGGCAAAAACUUGUCCAGCUCAUAACUUGAAAACUAUUAGACCUAGAAUCACCAAAAUUGGUCAACUAAUGCAUCUUAGGUAGAAGGUGUGUCGCAUCCUACUUUAAGGUCACUGUGACAUUUAAUUAAGGUGAUAUAAAAAAAAAUGUUUUAAUGGGUACUAUCUAUACUGUUAACAAUAUGUGACGGGCGUAUCAUGUGCCAUGACGGUGCACUUUAUUUAACAUGAAUUCAUAGCUAAAAAAAAAUUAUUACUAAUUUUUUGGUUAAUUCCAUAAAUAUAUUAUUCCGCUCUCUAGACACAAUUCUGGGUUACCCCCCUGCCUUUGGGGGUAUAAGCACCUCAUUUCUUUCAGAAUGGCACAAUGUCAGGAGAGCUUUUGUUAUUUGUUAUACUCUUAAUGUUGAUGGCAUGCAUCUAUGAACAACAGGAUAAUUUUUUAGAUUAUUAUUUCUGAUAUCAUAUUUGUAAAUUGUUUAUGAGGGGUUGUUAAAAGUUUGUGGACAAAAGGACGCACUUAUUAAAAAUUCAGAGUUAUCGUAAGUGAAAAAUAUAGGAGAUGUGUAACAAGAUUGUAUAUUUGAAGAUUUUAAUUUUAAUUAAUUUUUAUAAGUAUUGAUUUCAGAUACAUGUAUGACAUUGCAUGCUUGGGGGGGGGGGGGGGGGGCUACAGUUCGAUAAUAUUCUGGUCAGCACAUUCGAUAAACUACAUGGAAUUCAUUAAAUCACUUCUUUUUCUUUCAGUGGUCUUCAACUUUUAAUCUCCAAGAAGGAAAUGUAAUUAAAAGAUGAAUAAAGUAUCCCUAAGAAUACCAGAAGAAAGGCUAUGUGUUGAGAAAAACAGCCCUUCCUCAGUACCUCAGAACUAGAUGAUAGCCCUUAAUUGUUACUUUAUGCUGAAUAUGACACAGUAUAGAAGAUCUGAUCAUGAAGAAGUAACACCAUUGAUACACUUGCCAACUGCCAAAAUUACUUUCUGAUAGUAUGACGAGAUUAGAAGAUAUCAUGGUGUAGUCAUGACACAAACUGCAAAUCAAAGAAUUAAUUGUCUUCCCCAGAGGAUGAACAGAGCACGAUGGCUUCACAUGGAUAACAUUUCCUUUCGAGUUUUGAAAUUAAUUUGUCAGAAUGUUAUGCAUCGUUAUCAACAGAAAAGAACUUCAUAGGUAGACCAAAGCUGACAUGGGAUGAGAUCCUAGAACAAGACCUAGAGUUUACAGGAUUGGAUAGGAUCAAUCCACUGGGUCGCCAAGUGUGGAAGUACAAACUUCAACCUCGACAGGACAGCCAGGCCUCACCCUUGCAAAAAGAUUAAUUUGGCCUGGAUAGUCAAAAUGAGUGAUGAUGAUUGAUAUCAAGGUCUGACACUGGAAGCUCAGUAAGGGUAGAUGCUGGCAAUGGAGCUGUUUAGCAAUAAAACAAACAAGUUUAACAUUAAACAUGUUUGUAUACUUUUUUGGCUCACCUGAGCCAAAGGCUCAAGUGAGCUUUUCUGAUCACCUUUGCCUGUCGUCUGUCUGUUUAUAAACUUUUCACAUUUUCAUUUUCUUCUCCAGAGUGAACCACUGGGCCAGUUUCAAUCAAACUUGGUAUGCAUCAUCAAUAGAUAAAGGGUAUUCAAGUUUAUUCAUAUAAAGGGUCAUGCACCCUUCAAAAAGGAAAUAAUCAUGGAAAUGCAAAAAUAGGGUGGGGUCAUUUAAAAAACCUUUUCAAGAACCACUGGACCAGGAAAGUUGAAUUCACACGAAAGGUUCCUGUUUUGUGCAAAUCAUGGUCUCUGGGGGUAGGGUGGGGUCACAAUAGAGAAUCAAAGUUUUACAUUCAUAUAUAGUGCAUAUUCAAGUUUGUAAAAAGCUCACAGGGGUAGGGUGGGGGUCACAAUAGGGGAUUUAAGUUUUACAUGUGAAAUAUAUACAAGGAAAAUCUUUUAAAAUCUUCUCCUCAAAAACUAGAUGCAGAACCGUAGCUCUUUGAAAAGAGAGCUUCAGAUGAACCCCUUAUAAAAAAAACUUCAAUUUAUGGCAGAGAAAAAAAGUGCAUUUUUAAGUCCCUCUAUCACUGCAUUCCUGCAUCGCUAUGUCAUGAAUUUAAUAUUAAAUAAUUCCCAACAUAUUUUCCCACUAUACUUGUUUCCAAACAUACUUUCACAUAUUUUCUAAACCCACAUAUAACCCCAAAACAGCUUCAAGUGAUUUCAAUUUCUUUGUUGAUGUAGCCGUGUUAAGUAGCCUGUCAAUUUGAACCCCAGUUCAUUUCCAUACUCAUACUCAUUUUGAAACAUAAUGUCUGUGUGAACUAAUAUCCUCACAAACAUUUUUAGUGAAAUAUUUUGGAUGAAAUCAUCCCAGUUGGGUUAAAUACUUAUUAUUCAAAUACUGUAGGUUUGAAUAUUGAACUAAUCUCACAGCUUUCUUAAGUUUGGUCCCCAUCCCCACCAGUCUGUUUUUACGCUUAACUAUUGAAAUGGGGUGUAAGGGAUCAGACUAGGCUUUUAUAGCAUUAUCAAUUUUCAAAAGCUUUAGAAAAAUUAUACAAUUUUAGGUCACUUGAGUAAACUCAGAUGACAUAUUGCUAUUGAUCUGCAUCUGUUGUAGUCCGUCGACAUUAACAAUUGAACAUUUUUAACUAAAUUCUAUAACUGAAAGAUGAAGAUACCGCACAGCGAUCAAUCUACGAUUCAAAUAACGGAAUUCUUUUCAAAUUUAGUAUGAAGCACACAAAUUUACAUUAAACCUUCUUGACAUAGUGCAUAUUCAAGUUUGUUAAAAUCAUUUCCCCGGGAGUUAUGGUGUGGUAACAAUAGGGGGUCAAAGUUUUAUAUGCUAGCUGAUAUAAAGGAAAAUUCUUUAAAGAUAUCUCUUGAACUAUUUAAGCUAGGGCUUUCAUAUCUUGUAUAUACAAUUUUUAUGGCAAAACAAAUCUGACUUAUUCAGUAUGUCCUGAACUACAUUGUGUUUAAGGUAGAUCUUUCAUAUAUAUUAUAUAUUAUGAAUUUCUUAUGAUAAAACCUUUCAUCUUGUUGAGGAGCCUCUCACCUCUGGUUGGCGCGGGUUUGAAUCCUGCUCGCACCGGUAAUUGAGAAAGUUUCCCAGUUUACUCUCGGAAGGUCGGUGGUCUCUUCCCAGGUACGUUGUAUCUGGGUUCUCUCUUCCACCAAUAAAAACUGGGCACCACCAGAUAACUGAAAAAUUGUUGAGUGUGGCGGAAAACAGUUAAAACAAUCAAUCAUAUUAUGUUAUUUGACCUUGUGACCCUGAAUUCUGAGUUUGACAUACUUUUAAGAAAGUAUAACAUAUUAAGUAUAUCCAGGACUAUUUUAGAUAGGGCUUUUAUGUUUUGUAUAUUGAUUACUUAUGGCAAGGUCUUUCAUAUCAUACCAAGACCUACGACUUUUUACCUUGGUCUUAUCCAGAACAGCAAUAUCAUGCUAGUCAUAUCUUUGUCUUAUAUGAUUUCAUUUUAGUAAUGUUGUGUUCUUUAGAGCUAGGUUUGGGUCACAUCAUUCAUGAGAAUAAAGAUUGAUAAAAUAGCAUUUAAAAAUCAAAACAGCAGGGCCAAGAUGACUCAGGUGAGCGAUGUGGCCCAUGGGCCUCUUGUUGAUUUUGAUAUUUCUACCUAUAUCAUUUGUAUGAGAAGUGGAACUCCUUUUUUUCUUUUACAAAUACAUGUAUUAUCAUAUGGAUCCAUCUUUGUUGAUUAUUUAAUCAAAGGACAUAUUCAAUUCAUUCAAUGUAUUAAAUGUAAAUUUAUGGAUAUGUCUGUGGUUAAAUUACUUAUGUAUGUAUGUAUACAUUUUUCUCGCACAUGCAAUUACAUAUAUGAUGUAUAUAUAUUUACUAAUUGUACAUGUAAUAUCCCCUGUUAUAUAAUAAAAUAUAUGACUGAGAAUAAAA